rnacentral:rRNA from 1 species
AACGAACGCUGGCGGUAUGCUUAACACAUGCAAGUCGAACGAAUUUAAAAGCUUCGGUUUUUAAGUUAGUGGCAGACGGGUGAGUAACGCGUGGGAAUGUACCCUUUAGUUCAGAAUAACUACGGGAAACUGUAGCUAAUACUGGAUACGCCCUUCGGGGGAAAGAUUUAUCGCUAAAGGAACAGCCCGCGUUAGAUUAGGUAGUUGGUGAGGUAAAAGCUCACCAAGCCGACGAUCUAUAGCUGGUUUGAGAGGAUGAUCAGCCACACUGGGACUG